rnacentral:rRNA from 1 species
CCUACGGGCGGCAGCAGUGAGGAAUAUUGGUCAAUGGCCGCAGGGCUGAACCAGCCAAGUCGCGUGAGGGAUGACGGUCCUAUGGAUUGUAAACCUCUUUUGUCAGGGAGCAAAGGGCGCCACGUGUGGCGCUUUGCGAGUACCUGAAGAAAAAGCAUCGGCUAACUCCGUGCCAGCAGCCGCGGUAAUACGGAGGAUGCGAGCGUUAUCCGGAUUUAUUGGGUUUAAAGGGUGCGCAGGCGGAAUGUCAAGUCAGCGGUAAAAUUUCGGGGCUCAACCCCGUCGUGCCGUUGAAACUGGUGUUCUUGAGUGAGCGAGAAGUAUGCGGAAUGCGUGGUGUAGCGGUGAAAUGCAUAGAUAUCACGCAGAACUCCGAUUGCGAAGGCAGCAUACCGGCGCUCAACUGACGCUCAUGCACGAAAGCGUGGGUAUCGAACAGGAUUAGAUACCCCAGUAGUC